rnacentral:miRNA from 1 species
UGCUACAGGAGUCCUGUGUCU